GUAUAGCCCUGAUUGAAAUGACAUCCUUUUUUGUUUUUUUCAAAAAAGAUAUAAUGAAAAGCAGGAAAUAGC
rnacentral:sRNA from 1 species